GACAGGGGGUCGCUGCCGGGCCCCGAGCCCCCGGCGCUGCGGCGCUGCGUUUGUUUUCCGACAAACGUCCCGGUGAAUCUCACACGGCCCUGCUGUUCUAACAGCGGAAGGUGCGGUUUGGAUUUAGCCUAAAAGCCAGCGGAGCAAAAGCAGUUCGUGCCGCACCAAGUGGUAAAGGUAGGCAUGAAGUCGCUCAUUGUCAGCUCCUCUCGAGUCCCUCUCAACGCCCAUCCUAAGAUCCAGAGGCAGCAAGUUUGCCCUUCCCGAAUUCACAGUUCUUAGAGGCAGAAUGUUAUCCAGCACUCCCUUGGCUGGGCGCACACAUGGCAACGACCACAGUGCCGGCGAGGAUGGAUGGACGGAUGGAAGAAGGAAUUACUUCAAGGGCCAAUUUCACCUCCAGUUCUAACAACCCAAAGACAAGGAGCAGAGAGACCUUGCUGGGAGCAAGAGAUCUCUGCCUAAGCCCCUUCUGACACAGAGUUUAUGCAAUUUGGCACUAAAAUGUUCAAGGCUGGAAUCUGUCCUGCAGAUCUAACCACAGCCACGGGCCUCUGGACGGACACAAAACCCCCACCAGGCUGCAAGUCCCAGCCCCUCUGUCAGCAUGUGAUGGACAGGGGAGAGAAGCUGCAGCCAGGACAACACACUGAGAUCUUGUUUGACAGGGCUGAUGUAAAUCAAACAGCACAGAAAGUUUUGGAAUAAAUGAAAAGCUGGAUGCUGUUCCAUGGGGUUGGGUGUUUGAGGCACUCUGUGGGGCUGGGGGUGAGUGGGGAAGGGAGCAGUGCUGGUGUGCAUGCCUCCCCUCAGCCUCCUGCUGCUGAGACAACUGGAUUAAAUUAGAGCAGAAUGAGGACUGGGGAUUACAGAGAAACAGAGGCAUCAACAGUUUUCAUUUCUCCCCCACAAUUAUUUAUAAUGAUAUGGGAAAAUGAAGAGCAGAAUGGAUUCAGCAAACGAGGAAUAAGAGACAAACCACAGGAUCCAGCACUAGCCAUACUUUCCAAGGCAUUCCAGCCUGUUGUGCCACAUCACCAAGAAAUAUCUGCAAUUCUUGGAUGUCUAGCAUCUCUCAUUCAAUCCUAUUCAGGUAACUCUUGAGUACAUGACAAGACAGUUAUCAAGGCUCUCAUGUUUAGAUUAUAGCAGCCUUUUUUUUUCUUCCCAUUCAAAUAAGUACACUCUCUUUUGCCAAAGCCAAAUGAACAAAUGAGACACUGUCGUGACAUCCCAGGAAUAAAAUCUAACAGUAAAUCACCCUUGCAUGGAAAGCAGUUCUACAGUCAAGCAAAGCAAACUGCAAAUGUCAGCUUGUUCACUGGUAAUCCUGCUGGAAAGUAACCCAAAGAGCAGUAUUAGUGUUUGCUAACUUGCUCUGACAGUGGCUUUGCUAAAGAAUAAAUGGACAAAAUAGGCAGAUGAGAAGUAUUCCCCAUUAAAGACAGCAAAGAUAAAAAGACUAAUUUAAACCUCUAAAAUAAGGCAGCCAGUGCUGUCCUCCAUCCUCUUGAGAUCACCAGGCAGUCUACAGAAGCCCUCCAAGAAAUGUAACAUUUUUCACUCUUCACAAGCUUCUGAUUCCAGACAUCCCUGCUGCUGAAGUGGUACUGGCAAUGAGAACACCUUUUAAAACAGCAAUCUCCUACCCCUGCCUUUUCUGAUUCACUAUGAAAUAAAGAAUUCAGCUUUUAAUGUAA